GCUGUCCUCAUGCAUGUCACUUUGUUAAUUUUUAGCCAUUACAGACAAAUCGGAUUAGUUUAGCUGUUGUGGCUACAUCCACAACUGCUAAAUGAAAGCCGGAAUGCCACAAGUUAAAAGGGUCACUACUUACACCGAUACACCGGUGUGUUAAGCUAGUAACGGCUAACGUAGCGGUUGGCAGUUUGUUUAACAGGGUCGUUUUGCUCUUGUGUUUAUGCUCAUUCAAGUUCUAUUUGCCGACCAAUGUUAUCUGUGACUAGGAAGAAAUCAUUCAUUUAUCCAUAGUAGAGUUCAAAGCCCUUUCUUCUGGUGUUUUAUUUUUACAUAUUUAUUUUUUCCCUCCUCUUAUGUACGAACCAGCAGAGAGCUACAGUGACAUUUACACGGAGAUUUCUCUGCCAGAAGUAAUAUUAAAAGAGAAAACCAGCUCCACUUGCAUCAUUCAUCCACAAGAUUCAAACACAAGAAACCUGCAGUGGUUCUAAAGUGACAAUAUGGCAGCUGGUGUUGAACAAAGAUGACAAGGGGAGAAAAGUGUCUAAUGCCUGAUUAAUAUGACUGGCAUCAUUAUUAACAUCAAACAAAUAAGGUUCUGCACUUCCUGCAAUGAGACACCCUUGACUCCCAACACCUGGAGACAUCACACACUCAAGAUCCUUCAAAUCCUUCUGACAACCAUCUUUGGCACACAAGACAUUUAUGCUCACCAGUUUUACAAACCAGUUAUACUCCACUGUACAUAACUAAUGGACUGUUCUGUCCCUCUCAUUUGAAACAUCUCAGUCAAGCACAGUUGAGAUGCUGUACAACCCCUUAACAAUUUUAGUACUGUUACAUCCUUUAAAAAUACUUACCACUCCAUUGAAAAUCAGCUGCACAUCAUUAGUUGGGCACACCUCUAGUUAUAUGAAUUGGUUUGUACGCAGUUUUGGAGUGACUUAUUAAGUCAUAUUUAAAAUUGAUCUUACCUGUGUAGCAAAGGACAGACAUUUUAUAAUAACACUUUAGAUCAGCCCAUGUUCCGUCAUCUCUAGCUAUAACACAUGUCUCUGUUCCGCCAUGAUUAUUUGGAGCGCGUUCCAUCCAGUUGUCAUAACCAGUUUUACUUGGUUCAGAGGUGCUUGACCAUCUCCAGGAGUUUGUUGCGUUGCUCUUUAAUGUCUUCCAAGACAGCGGAUCAUCAUUCAGUCCAAUCCAAGCAUUUGAGAUGCCUGGUCUGUCGAGCUUGCUCAUGUCUUCCUCACUUUCAAUGGUGGCCAGGUCCGUAUAUUUUUCUCUGCAGUGACGUUGAGCUUGGGUCCAGUUCAUUUUCAAAUCUAUGUAGUGAAACUGCCGAAAGUCAUAAUUGGAGGCUGUGCAAAAUCCUGUGGAGUAUGAUGAAGAGCAGAUUUGAUUGUAAACAUAAUUUAUUUUAAAAUCAAUUUCAAUUUCUUGAGGCUUUGAGUAAAUAUCAUUAUAGGAAUAUGACAGAAAUGUUUACAUUAGAGGGAAAAACACAAAUGAAUGUACACAUUUAUUUGCCACACUUUGCCACCUCUGGUUAAUCUUUGACCUCUGCCAUCGACAAGGCAUUUUCGUAGUGAGAACUAUUGCUCAAUGGAUAUUUCAAUAUAUGUCGAUUAUUACAUAUUCUUGAAGCUUCUGAAAAUCUUUCAUCAUCAGCUAUUUUGAAUGUUGUCUGCAUA